rnacentral:rRNA from 1 species
GAUGAACGCUGGCGGCGUGCCUAAUACAUGCAAGUCGAGCGAACAGAUAAGGAGCUUGCUCCUUUGACGUUAGCGGCGGACGGGUGAGUAACACGUGGGUAACCUACCUAUAAGACUGGAAUAACUCCGGGAAACCGGGGCUAAUGCCGGAUAACAUUUAGAACCGCAUGGUUCUAUAGUGAAAGAUGGUUUUGCUAUCACUUAUAGAUGGACCCGCGCCGUAUUAGCUAGUUGGUAAGGUAACGGCUUACCAAGGCAACGAUGCGUAGCCGACCUGAGAGGGGGAUCGGCCACACGGGAACUGAGACACGGUCCAGACGCCUACGGGAGGCAGCAGUAGGGAAUCUUCCGCAAUGGGCGAAAGCCUGACGGAGCAACGCCGCGUGAGUGAUGAAGGUCUUCGGAUCGUAAAACUCUGUUAUUAGGGAAGAACAAAUGUGUAAGUAACUGUGCACGUCUUGACGGUACCUAAUCAGAAAGCCACGGCUAACUACGUG